rnacentral:rRNA from 1 species
AGGGUUCGAUUCUGGCUCAGGACGAACGCUGGCGGCAUGCCUAACACAUGCAAGUCGAACGGGGGUAGCAAUACCCUAGUGGCGAACGGGUGAGUAACACAUAAGCAAUCUGCCCUUCGACAGGGGGAUAACAGCGGGAAACUGCUGCUAAUACCGCAUAAGACCACGGUACCGCAUGGUACAGGGGUAAAAACGAAUCAGUGGUGAAGGAUGAGCUUAUGUCCCAUUAGCUAGUUGGUGAGAUAACAGCCCACCAAGGCGACGAUGGGUAGCCGACCUGAGAGGGUGAUCGGCCACACUGGAACUGAGACACGGUCCAGACUCCUACGGGAGGCAGCAGUGGGGAAUAUUGGGCAAUGGAGGAAACUCCUUACCCAGCAAUGCCGCGUGAGUGAAGAAGGUCUUCGGAUUGUAAAGCUCUUUGAUUGGGGACGAAGAAAGUGACGGUACCCAAAGAACAAGCCCCGGCUAACUACGUGCCAGCAGCUGC